AACGAACGCUGGCGGCAGGCUUAACACAUGCAAGUCGAACGCCCGUAGCAAUACGGGAGUGGCGGACGGGUGAGUAACGCGUGGGAACGUGCCCUAAGGUACGGAAUAACUGCGGGAAACUGCAGCUAAUACCGUAUGUGCCCGAAAGGGGAAAGAUUUAUCGCCUUAGGAGCGGCCCGCGUCGGAUUAGCUAGUUGGUGGGGUAACGGCCUACCAAGGCUUCGAUCCGUAGCUGGUCUGAGAGGACGAUCAGCCACACUGGGACUGAGACACGGCCCAGACUCCUACGGGAGGCAGCAGUGGGGAAUCUUGCGCAAUGGGCGAAAGCCUGACGCAGCCAUGCCGCGUGAACGAUGAAGGCCUUAGGGUUGUAAAGUUCUUUUGCCCGUGACGAUGAUGACGGUAACGGGAGAAUAAGCUCCGGCUAACUUCGUGCCAGCAGCCGCCGUAACAC
rnacentral:rRNA from 1 species